GGGCCUAUCACCCAGCCUGGAUAGGGUAGCAGCCUCCUAAGCUGUUUGUCGGGGGUUCAAAUCCCCCUAGGCCCG
rnacentral:tRNA from 1 species